AAUUAAAACUGUAGACUGAUUUAUAGUUUCACAUCUCCCGACUUCUCUCUCAUGAAAAAGUGGCUCUGUUUCUUCAAAACUCUACCACCAUUGACGGUUUCACGAAAGAUCUAUAGGUCAUGCCUUCACCAAUAUGAGGCUCUUCAAGCCAAAACAUGGGCGAGAGACAGAGCCAAGCAAGAAGAGAUUUGGAAAACAGAAAAAGAAACUAUGCAGUCAAGAAAGAUAUUCAAGAAUCAAAAGAUUUUAACAUAGGGUUGGUUAAAGCAAAAGCUGAGUAUUUUUUUUCCAAUUGAGAAAUGGUGAAUGUAUUAAGUGUUAGUUGCAGUUUCUUGAUGUUAGUUGGGGAUUUGAGACUGAAAUCUUUAUAAUAUACAGUGUAAAUGUCAUGGUUUUUACUCCGCUACUCAUGUUUUUGUGUAUAUAUUUUUUAUCCUCAUCUUUGUAUUCCGAUAAUCCCAAAUAUUGUAACUAAUCCUCUAUGAGAAAUAAAGAUUCUGUAUUUUUUAA